GAUGAACGCUGGCGGCGUGCCUAAUACAUGCAAGUCGAGCGAACGGACGAGAAGCUUGCUUCUCUGAUGUUAGCGGCGGACGGGUGAGUAACACGUGGAUAACCUACCUAUAAGACUGGGAUAACUUCGGGAAACCGGAGCUAAUACCGGAUAAUAUUAUGAACCGCAUGGUUCAAAAGUGAAAGACGGUCUUGCUGUCACUUAUAGAUGGAUCCGCGCUGCAUUAGCUAGUUGGUAAGGUAACGGCUUACCAAGGCAACGAUGCAUAGCCGACCUGAGAGGGUGAUCGGCCACACUGGAACUGAGACACGGUCCAGACUCCUACGGGAGGCAGCAGUAGGGAAUCUUCCGCAAUGGGCGAAAGCCUGACGGAGCAACGCCGCGUGAGUGAUGAAGGUCUUCGGAUCGUAAAACUCUGUUAAUAGGGAAGAACAUAUGUGUAAGUAACUGUGCACAUCUUGACGGUACCUAAUCAGAAAGCCACGGCUAACUACGUG
rnacentral:rRNA from 1 species